rnacentral:snoRNA from 1 species
GAGGGUGAUGAUACUAAUCCAGGGGACAAAGAUCCCCAACGAGGGGACGAGGGUGAUGAUACUCAUCAAGGGGAUGGAGAUCCAAAACAAGGGGACGAGGGUGAUGAUGAGAGUGAAGGAAGGUCUGACUC